AACUUGGACUUUUACUUAUAUUUAAAAAUGCUCAUUUUGUUUACAAUUCUAAUACCAUUUUCAUCAAAGAACUCCAAUUUCCAAUACUUUUAAUUUUGAAGUUAACAUGUGCAGAAGUGAUUCACAGUAAAAAAAUUCAAAUUAAAAAAAAAAAAAAAAAAUGGAGGCAAGCAGGAAGGCAGUUACAUGAACACAGCGUAAUAAUGGGUGAUGGGACUGACUCCCACGGCAGUCAUUUUUAAAAAGCAAGAUAACAAAAUUUCUCCCUAAUGACCACUCCUGUGAGGCUGAGCGCAUAGAAACCUUCACUUUAUCAUGACGCUAAUUCACUGGAUAGCGAGGGUUACCAUUGUCAGAUUCUAGUAUAGUCACAAAGCAUUGAUAAAGGUUUUUCUGAUUAAUCCCUCAAUCAGGGGUCCAACAUCAUACGACUUUGUCCAGCAUGGCAGAUCAAACCAUUACUCAUUCACCCCCAGCGGUUUGCAAUUAAGUGCUUUCUCGGUUUUGCUCCAACUAGAAUGUCAAUACAAUUUGGGCCUUUUGGGGUAUAGGUGAACUGGUUAAAAAAUGAUUGCACUAGUUGGCUAACAGGGCACAGCAACUCUUUAGUAUCUUCGCAAGGUGUUGAAGAGCAUACAAAGAGGCAUAGAAAGAAUAAAGUUACACCACUUCACAAUAUAACAGUUUAUCGAUAGUUGUUCUAAAAUACCUUGAUGGGAUUUAUAAAUGGAAAAAAAUAAAUUGCCACGGGUUUGCAUGAAAAAAAUUCACAGUAAAAUGGUCAUGCAGGUAAAUACAGUUUUGCAAAGGGGGAUAAUUUUGUAGUUUUCUUGUCUGAGAAUAAAACUAUCACCCGGGCCCCAAUUUAAAUAAGUGACCACUUACUUGAGCAAUCAGACAUGCAGAAUUACAUAUUAUGAUACAUUAUAUUCAGUUAUUUCAAAACCCCAAACUGCAUUUUGUUAUUUUUCCUUUUACUGCACAAAACUUUUGUCCAAUUACAAGCAGUGCCCAUGCAGACAGCACUUGGCAAAUAAAACCCUCCACUUUUAAAGGGAGAUACACUUGUCAAGUUGAAAGACACUCUGCCUGAGUAUAUGUAAACUAAUUAAAAACAAGAUUAUUUACUAAAAUUGAAAUUGUCAAGCACUGUGAUGUGAACUUUUAUACCAAAUGUGCAGAUUUGGAAAUUCUACAAUUUCCUUCUCUAUUUACCCCAAUUUUCUGUUUAGUAAAUAAACC